GAUGAACGCUAGCGGCAGGCUUAAUACAUGCAAGUCGAGGGGCAGCAGGACUGUAGCAAUACAGUUGCUGGCGACCGGCAAACGGGUGCGGAACACGUACGCAACUUACCCUUGUCUGGGGCAUAGCCCUCCGAAAGGUGGAUUAACUCCCCAUAAGAUAGUAGAGUGGCAUCACUUCGCUAUUAAAACUUUGGUGGACAGGGAUGGGCGUGCGGCUGAUUAGGUAGUUGGUGAGGUAACGGCUCACCAAGCCUGCGAUCAGUAACUGGUGUGAGAGCACGAACAGUCAACGGGGAACUGAGAAACGAGCCCGCCUCCUACGGGAGGCAGCAGUAAGGAAUAUUGGUCAAUGGAGGCAACUCUGAACCAGCCAUGCCGCGUGGAGGAUGAAGGCCCUCUGGGUUGUAAACUUCUUUUACAGGGGACGAAACACUUCUAUUCUUAGGAGCUUGACGGUACCCUGGGAAUAAGCACCGGCUAACUCCGUGCCAGCAGCCGCCGUAACAC
rnacentral:rRNA from 1 species